GACGAACUGUGCAAACGUUAUUCGGAAUCACUGGGCUUGAAGAGUGCGUAGGCGGUUUCGUAAGUAGGGUGUGAAAGCCCCCGGCUCAACCGGGGAAUGGCGCCCUAAACUGACGGGCUGGAGUGAGAUAGGGGUGUGCGGAACUUCCGGUGGAGCGGUGAAAUGUGUUGAUAUCGGAAGGAACGCCGGUGGCGAAAGCGGCACACUGGAUCUCAACUGACGCUGAGGCACGAAAGCCAGGGGAGCGAACGGG
rnacentral:rRNA from 1 species